AAUCCUCCUGGGAAACUCGGUAAGUAACAGCUGAAUGCCAUUCUUCUGCAGCUGCUUCAUACAUGGGAGUACACAAUUCCUCAUCCAUGUUCAUACACUCCAGAUCUAUAGCACAAAUACUAUAAAAUCUGUUCUCCCUUGAAUUCUUACAAAGUUUGUCACCAACACAAAUACAGCAUUUAUUUUGCAACUCCCCAGCAGACACAUUAACAGAGUUAUUCUCACUUAAAUUACUGAUUCGCCUGUUUUCUUUCUCUACUAAAGAAUUUUUACAAGUGGCCAGGCAACACUGCAGAUGGUCACUUAGGAAAGGUUCCUGCUGCUGGUCAGGUACGUGUGAGAAAGGCUGGUCAUUUUCAGAGCAAACCUGUCUACCACUGCUCCUACACAGUGGGUCUCUAGCAAUCUCAGGAUCCUCUCCAACAGCAACAGUAUUUGAACUCUCAUUAGCCUUGUCUGCACUUUCAGACCCAUAAAAGAACCUGUAUGAGGUGGAGGAAUCACAAUUCCACGACUGCUUUGAUCUAUGGUCCUGUCUGUGCCCAGGCCCUGUAAGGACUCGAGCGUACACAGUAGCCCCAGCGGCCG
rnacentral:lncRNA from 1 species